rnacentral:rRNA from 1 species
AUGAAGAUUUUAGCAUGGAACUCCCGGGGAUUGGGGAAUGGCCCGACAGUGAGAGGGCUUCUGGACCUCCGGAAGCAGGUGGAUCCUGGCAUCAUCUUCUUAUCUGAAACUAAACUGGAUAAAGGGAGGAUGGAGAAGCUUAAGUGGAAGUUAGGAAUGGGGAACAUGAUGGCAAGGGACUGUGAAAGAAAGAGCGGAGGGUUGGCAUUACUUUGGAAGAAAGAAGUAAACUUGGAGCUGCACAACUACUCCAAGUAUCAUAUUGAUGUAAACGUAGUGGAGAAAGAUGGUUUUAGGUGGCGUUUCACGGGCAUUUGUGGAGAGACCGCAAGUGAUAAAAAGAAAAUAACUUGGAAGUUAUUGUGCAUCCUCAAUCAGCAGCUUAAAUUUCCAUGGUUAUGCACCGACGAUUUUAACGAGAUCAUGUAUAGUCAUGAAAAGAAGGGUGGCAGGUAG